GACGAACGCUGGCGGCGUGCUUAACACAUGCAAGUCGAACGGAAAGGCCCCUUUGGGGGUACUCGAGUGGCGAACGGGUGAGUAACACGUGAGUAACCUGCCCUUGACUUCGGGAUAACUUCAGGAAACUGGGGCUAAUACCGGAUAGGAAUCCUUGCUGCAUGGUGGGGGGUGGAAAGCUUCGGCGGUUUUGGAUGGACUCGCGGCUUAUCCGCUUGUUGGUGGGGUAGUGGCUUACCAAGGCUUUGACGGGUAGCCGGCCUGAGAGGGCGACCGGCCCCAUUGGGACUGGGCUACGGCCCAGACUCCUACGGGGGGCAGCAGUGGGGAAUAUUGCACAAUGGGCGGACGCCUGAUGCAGCAACGCCGCGUGCGGGAUGACGGCCUUCGGGUUGUAAACCGCUUUCAGCAGGGGCGAAGCUUGUGGUGACGGUACCUGCAGAAGAAGCACCGGCUAACUACGUG
rnacentral:rRNA from 1 species